GAUGAACGCUAGCGGCAGGCUUAAUACAUGCAAGUCGUGGGGCAGCAGCUUUAUAGCAAUAUAGAGGCUGGCGACCGGCAAACGGGUGCGGAACACGUACUGAACCUUCCUUUAAGUGGGGAAUAGCCCAGAGAAAUUUGGAUUAAUACCCCGUAACAUAUAGAAGUGGCAUCGCUUUUAUAUUAAUGCUCCGGCUCUUAAAGAUGGCAGUGCGGCUGAGUAGGUAGUUGGCGGGGUAACGGCCCACCAAGCCUACGAUCAGUAACUGGUGUGAGAGCACGACCAGUCACACGGGCACUGAGACACGGGCCCGACUCCUACGGGAGGCAGCAGUAAGGAAUAUUGGUCAAUGGACGGAAGUCUGAACCAGCCAUGCCGCGUGGAGGAUGAAGGUCCUCUGGAUUGUAAACUUCUUUUAUCUGGGACGAAAAAGGGCUUUUCUAAGUCAACUGGCGGUACCAGAUGAAUAAGCACCGGCUAACUCCGUGCCAGCCGCCGCAGUAACAC
rnacentral:rRNA from 1 species